GCAGCCGGUGGCAGUCGCGCCGUCCUCCGGCGGUUACCUAUCUCCGGCGGUUACCUAUCUCCGCUUAUUCACUCGCGGCGCGACCCGCCUGCAGGGAGGGUGUGUGUCCCGUCCUGCCAGACGACGCUGCGCCCUCCUCUCGCGGCUGCAAGCUGGCCAGCGUGCUCAAUCCCUGUAUCCAAUGGAGAUAAUGAAUUCAGAAGGUGAAUUCAGAAUUCAAAUACUUGAGAGUUCACAUCAGUAUUCCCUGCAAAUUCAUGCUAUCACCCAGCCAAGACCAAACUGGUUUUUACUGAGAAAAGACCAUCUUGCUGGGUGAGCCCUGAAGAGAUUUAAAAGAAUGAGAAGGGCUUGUUUCCUUUUCGUGCCUCAGACAUACUGACUAGAGUGGACACAAGGUUGAGCAUACAAUUUUUCAGACACAGCAGAUAUGAAGAAACUUUUUCAAGGUGUUUUGCAGCAACUGUUAGGUCAUUACCAAAUUGUUUCUUGAAUUAUACAUGUGUCACAUACAUCUGGGAUGAACAUUGAACAUAUUCCAAUAUCAUGCAAUUGUGUUUCCCUUAUCUGUAAAAGCAAGUGUUGUAUGUUCUCCACCUCAGCUUAGAAUGGCUCCCUGGAGAAAGGAGAGACAACUGUCUGCCAUCUUUUCUGCUUCAGCAUUUUUGGGACUGUGUUACACAUCACAUGUCUUGUGGAGAUGCUCAGCGGAUCUCCUUUGCCCAGGGAGGUGGUGGAGUCUCUUUCUUUGGAGAUGUUCAAGACCUGCCUGGAUGCCUACCUGUGCGACCUGCUGUAGGGAACCUGCUUUGGCAGGGGGUAGGACUCGAUGAUCUCUGGAGGUCCCUUCCAACCCCUACGAUUCUGUGAUUCUGUGACAGGAAGAUCAGAGUUUGUGGGAGUGGGCCCUGUGGCCUGGUCUUUUUUCUUCAUCUUGCUAAUGAUGAGUUAACAAGACAAGAUCACAUUUAUCCAAGCCUUCUGAGAGGAUGGCUGUCUAAUGCUAUCAUGACAAAAGAGAGCUACUGAGCUUUUUUUACUAUGUAAUUCUGAUUCCUAUUUUUAUAUCCUGAUUUCAUUAAUACUUUUGUGAUGGGUUCUACCUGUUAUAAAGUAGACAAAGCAACGUAUUUAUCCUCCUCUUGGCUAUACAUUUAAUACUAUGCGGAACACAUGGCUAACAUUUCCAAAGUCACUAGCAGCAUCUGGAGAUCCUUACAUUCAUUUUCUCCAUUGCAACUCCAGCAUCUGACACUACCCUGCAAUGUGAAAUGAUGUACAGAGUCAAU